UACCAGCACCCCGAGUGGUCGGGACGAUUAUUGGGCCUAAAGCAUCCGUAGCCGGCCUUACAAGUCCUCCGUUAAAUCCAGCUGCUUAACAGAUGGGCUGCGGAGGAUACUAUAAGACUAGGAGGCAGGAGAGGCAAGCGGUACUCAGUGGGUAGGGGUAAAAUCCGUUGAUCCAUUGAAGACCACCAGUGGCGAAGGCGGCUUACUGGUCCGAUACUGACGCUGAGGUGCGAAAGCGUGGGGAGCAAACAGG
rnacentral:rRNA from 1 species